rnacentral:rRNA from 1 species
GACGAACGCUGGCGGCGUGGAUUAGGCAUGCAAGUCGAACGGUAUCAUCCUUUCGGGGGUGAGAGAGUGGCGAACUGGUGAGUAACACGUAGGUUAUCUACCCUCAAGACGGGGACAACCCAGGGAAACUUGGGCUAAUACCGGAUGUGAGCAACUUUUAGUUGUUUGAAAGGUGGCGUAAGCUGUCGCUUGGGGAUGAGCCUGCGUCCUAUUAGUUAGUUGGUGAGGUAACGGCUCACCUAGGCAAUGAUAGGUAGGCGGCCUUAACGGGUGGUCGCCCACACUGGGAUUGAGAUACGGCCCAGACUCCUACGGGAGGCAGCAGUCGAGAAUAGUCUACAAUGGUCGGAAGACUGAUAGUGCGACGCCGCGUGAACGAUGAAUCCCUUCGGGGUGUAAAGUUCUUUUAUAUGUGAGCAGUGCUUCUUAUAUUAACAGUAUGGGGAGAGAGAUAUUAGCAUAUGAAUAAGCAACGGCUAACUCCGUGCCAGCAGCCGCGGUAAAAGUUG